rnacentral:rRNA from 1 species
UCGGGUUGUAAAGCACUUUUGUCCGGAAAGAAAACUUCUGCAUUAAUACUGCGGGAGGAUGACGGUACCGGAAGAAUAAGCACCGGCUAACUACGUGCCAGCAGCGCGGUAAUCGUAGGGUGCGAGCGUUAAUCGGAAUUACUGGGCGUAAAGCGUGCGCAGGCGGUUCGUUAAGACAGAUGUGAAAUCCCCGGGCUUAACCUGGGAACUGCAUUUGUGACUGGCGAGCUAGAGUAUGGCAGAGGGGGGUAGAAUUCCACGUGUAGCAGUGAAAUGCGUAGAGAUGUGGAGGAAUACCGAUGGCGAAGGCAGCCCCCUGGGCCAAUACUGACGCUCAUGCACGAAAGCGUGGGGAGCAAACAGGAUUAGAUACCCUGGUAGUCCACGCCCUAAACGAUGUCAACUAGUUGUUGGGGAUUCAUUUCCUUAGUAACGUAGCUAACGCGUGAAGUUGACCGCCUGGGGAGUAUGGUCGCAAGAUUAAAACUCAAAGGAAUUGACGGGGACCCGCACAAGCGGUGGAUGAUGUGGAUUAAUUCGAUGCAACGCGAAAAACCUUACCUACCCCUGACAUGGUCGGAACCCUGCUG